rnacentral:rRNA from 1 species
AAACCUGAUAUGACUUAGUGGCGGACGGGUGAGUAACACGUGAGCAACCUGCCUUUCAGAGGGGGAUAACGGCUGGAAACGGUCGCUAAUACCGCAUGACACAUAGAUGUCGCAUGGCAUUUAUAUCAAAGAUUUAUCGCUGAAAGAUGGCCUCGCGUCUGAUUAGCUAGUUGGUGAGGUAACGGCCCACCAAGGCGACGAUCAGUAGCCGGACUGAGAGGUUGAACGGCCACAUUGGGACUGAGACACGGCCCAGACUCC